rnacentral:rRNA from 1 species
UACGUAGGGGGCUAGCGUUGUCCGGAAUCAUUGGGCGUAAAGAGCGUGUAGGCGGUCCGGUAAGUCCGCUGUGAAAGUCGGGGGCUCAACCCUCGAAUGCCGGUGGAUACUGUUGGGCUAGAGUGCGGAAGAGGCGAGUGGAAUUCCUGGUGUAGCGGUGAAAUGCGCAGAUAUCAGGAGGAACACCUAUUGCGAAGGCAGCUCGCUGGGACGUAACUGACGCUGAGACGCGAAAGCGUGGGGAGCAAACAGG